GAUGAACGCUGGCGGCGUGCCUAAUACAUGCAAGUCGAGCGAAGCGGGGACGGGUGAGUAACACGUGGAUAACCUCCUAUAAGACUGGGAUAAAUUAGGGAAACCGGAGCUAAACCGGAUAAUUAUAGAUGGAUCCGCGUGGCAUUAGCGAGUUGGUAAGGUAACGGCGUACCAAGGCAACGAUGCAUAGCUGACCUGAGAGGGUGAUCUGCCACACUGGAACGGAGACACGGUCCAGACUCCUACGGGAGGCAGCAGUGGGGAAUCUUCCGCAAUGGGCGAAAGCCUGACGGAGCAACGCCGCGUGAGUGAUGAAGGUCUUCGGAUCGUAAAACUCUGUUAUUGGGGAAGCGUUACCUGAUCAGAAAGCAACGGCUAACUACGUGCCAGCCGCCGCGGUAAUAC
rnacentral:rRNA from 1 species